UGGCGGACGGGUGAGUAAUGUCUGGGAAACUGCCUGAUGGAGGGGGAUAACUACUGGAAACGGUAGCUAAUACCGCAUAACGUCGCAAGACCAAAGAGGGGGACCUUCGGGCCUCUUGCCAUCGGAUGUGCCCAGAUGGGAUUAGCUAGUGGUGGGGUAACGGCUCACCUAGGCGACGAUCCCUAGCUGGUCUGAGAGGAUGACCAGCCACACUGGAACUGAGACACGGCCCAG
rnacentral:rRNA from 1 species